rnacentral:rRNA from 1 species
UACGGAGGAUGCAAGCGUUAUCCGGAUUCAUUGGGUUUAAAGGGUGCGUAGGCGGGCUAUUAAGUCAGUGGUGAAAUCCUGCAGCUUAACUGCAGAACUGCCGUUGAUACUGAUAGUCUUGAGUUUGGUUAAGGUAGGCGGAAUGUGUAAUGUAGCGGUGAAAUGCUUAGAUAUUACACAGAACACCGAUUGCGAAGGCAGCUUGCUGGGUCAUUACUGACGCUGAUGCACGAAAGCGUGGGGAUCAAACA